UUACUGCUUUUGAUUGUGGGUUCUUUGUUUGUUAUAGUUAAUCUCUGGACCCCAGAUCAGGAUUUGUUUGUAAGACUGACUGCUUUGGUCAAUCGGAUGUUUCCCGUGUCGGUUUGAUUUUCUUUUGUGAAUUUGGGUUUGGGUGAGAAUCUCCAGUUUUCUGGUUGGGAUUGGCGAGAUUAGCUGUUUUGGAUAUCUGAGUUUGUUCCUGCCUCCGCAUUGAGGGUUUGUUGUGGGCAUGGUGGGAAAAGAGGAUGGUUCUCGUGUUCCGUACCAGGUUGCUGGAAAUCGGAAAACGUUCUGGCGGUCGGCGUCCUGGUCUUCGUCUCGGACGGGGCUGAGAAACCCUGAGUCUGAAGAAAAGGAUUGCUCAGAUCCAAACGGUGGUAUUGGGAAUAAUAGUGGCCAAAACCGGCGGUUUCCGGCUCCAUUAACCCCACGAUCUCAGCAAAACUGUAAGGCCCGGGCGUGCUUGCCACCACUGCAGCCAUUGUCCAUUGCUCGCAGGAGCUUGGAUGAGUGGCCAAAGGCAAGUUCUGAUGAUGUUGGGGAGUGGCCUCAACCACCCACCCCAAGUGGGAGAGAUAUGAAUAAGGGUGGAGAUAGGCUGAAGCUUGAUUUGUCUGCGAUUCAGAAAAACCCGGAUAAGAAUGGUGGGCUUGUGAGGAGGGAUAAGAUUGCAUUCUUUGAUAAAGAGUGCUCUAAGGUUGCUGAACAUAUAUAUCUUGGGGGAGAUGCGGUUGCAAAGGAUAGGGAGAUUUUGAAGCAGAACAGAAUCACCCAUAUUCUCAAUUGUGUGGGUUUUGUUUGUCCUGAAUAUUUCAGAGCCGAUUUUGUGUACAGAACUUUGUGGUUGCAGGAUAGUCCAUCUGAAGACAUCACCAGUAUACUUUAUGAUGUUUUUGACUACUUUGAGGAUGUUAGAGAACAGGGGGGAAGGGUUUUUGUUCAUUGUUGCCAAGGGGUGUCUCGAUCCACUUCGCUUGUGAUUGCAUAUCUUAUGUGGAGAGAAGGGCAGAGUUUUGAAGAUGCAUUUCAGUAUGUGAAAGCAGCUAGGGGAAUUGCUGAUCCAAAUAUGGGGUUUGCUUGCCAGUUGUUACAGUGUCAAAAAAGGGUCCAUGCCUUUCCUCUUAGUCCAAGUUCAUUACUGAGGAUGUAUAGAAUUGCCCCACACUCUCCAUAUGAUCCUUUGCAUCUUGUUCCAAAAAUGUUGAAUGAUCCUUCACCAUCUGCUCUUGAUUCUAGGGGUGCAUUUAUUGUACAUGUACCUUCUGCAAUCUAUGUUUGGAUUGGUAAAAAUUGUGAGUUCAUAAUGGAAAGGGAUGCCAGAGCUGCGGUUUGUCAGAUUGUUCGUUAUGAAAGAGUACAGGGGCCAAUAACAGUGAUCAAGGAAGGAGAAGAACAGUCAUACUUCUGGGAUGCUUUUUCUAACCUUUUGCCUUUGAUGGAUAAAUCUGUUAAUGGGGUGGAGGUUGGGAAAUCAAUGGUUGAUGUUUGCCUUGGUGAGAGAAAAGUGGAUUCAUAUAAUGUUGAUUAUGAGAUUUUCAAGAAAGCAAUCUCCGGGGGUUUUGUGCCCCCUUUUGCAUCAUCUGAGACUGAACAUGAAACCCACCUUCCUGUAAGAGAAAGCAGUUGGAGUGCGCUGAGGCGUAAGUUUGCCUUUGGCAAUAUGAAGGAGUUCAUUUCGGCUCCCAGGUUAUCCUUUCACAGGGUGUUUUCAGAUUCUAUGUUAAUAGUCGGUGUUGAUAAUUUUAUGAACAAACCAUCACAUUCUCCUGCUAAUUCUUCAACAUCAUCCUCACCACCACCAUCAUCAUCAUCAUCAGCAUCAUCAUCAUCAUCAUCAUCAUCUUCAUCUUCCUCACCACCUUAUCUCUCCCCUGAUUCCAUUUCUUCCGAUUCAAGUGGUACAUCAAAGUAUUUUUCUGAGUCCCCUCUGAUGUCUCCUUCCACUGUUGCAUGCCCUCUUCCUCUAUCAUCAACCUUGUCUACCCUUUCUAAUUUGUCUCUUUUCACAUCUAGCACAUCUAACACUUCUUCUCAAUCUGCAUCUAAUGCUUCUUUUCAAUCUGUGUCUAACAAUCCAGAACUUGUUAGUGUUACUUCACAGCAUUCUUCUCAAUCAGUCUCCCUACCAUUUAAAAGAUUUCCCGUUUCCCUGGCUGAGCGCAGAGGUAGCUUGUCAAAGUCACUUACACUGCCUGUGUUGACUGAUGAAACAAGGUUAAAAAAUAAUGUUUCAACUUCGGUUUCCUGUCAAGAAGAUGCUGUGAGGAUAGACGUCAACACUUGCUCUUUUUCUGAACCAUGUUCUAGUGUAGAACAUGUCUCAGAGUUCAAGAAUGGUGCUAGAAAUGGAGAUGGGAACUCAACUGAACAAUGCGAGUUGCGGAUAUCAUCAGGUAGAGUAGCUAGUGAUGAUUCACAUAAGGACAUUGGUUUUGUCAGAAAUGGUGAUGAGACACUGAGAAAUGAUCCUUUGGAAGGAAGUCAGGAUUCAACUGUCUUGACUGGAAUGAUGGAAGCUCAUGGUGACCCAGUACAACCAUUAGUAUGUUGCUGGCCUAGCUUAGAAAAAUUUGCAUCCUUUGGUGCA
rnacentral:lncRNA from 1 species